rnacentral:tRNA from 3 species
UGGAGCACUAGCUCAGUCGGUAGAGCACCUGACUUUUAAUCAGGUUGUCGGGGGUUCGAAUCCCCCGUGCUUCAG